rnacentral:rRNA from 1 species
UUAGGUUAAGUUAGAAAGGGCGCACGGUGGAUGCCUUGGCACUAGGAGCCGAUGAAGGACGGUACUAACACCGAUAUGCUUCGGGGAGCUGUAAGUAAGC